UUAAAGUUAGGAUCGUGCUUUCAAUUAUGUAGGAUGAAAUAUCUUUUUGUAUACAGAUUCAGUUAUUUAUAAUGACUAAAAUUCAAAACCUUUUAAGUUCAAAAGUCAUGCAUAUAAGUUUUUACUUUAAAAUUAUUUAGUUAUCAACUCAAAUUUAUCGAUUUGUUUUAUCAUAAGCCUUUUUAGAUGAUUUUCAAUAAUCUCUAUCUCUAAUAAAAAAAGACUCUUAAACCAGCCACAUGUCCUCUUUUAAACACAAUCUCAUGCCACGUGUCAUAUUCUCCUAUGCCCUUGACUCUAUUUCCUGCUUUUUUCUUCAUCCAAAAACAUUGCUGAAAAUCAAUUUUUAAAUCGGAAACUAUUCUGAUUUCAAUAAAUUAGCAAUAUUCUAGGCAAUAAAUCAGCAAACGUAAUCUUUUCAAAAAAUUUAAACUGAUGACCCAAUUACUCCCCUUCUUAUAUGCUUCGGUAAUUUGUGAUUUGAACAUUCGUCUGCACUCGGUUUCUAGCAGCCUACAUGCUUUUAACUUUUGCAUCGAUUUUAAUAUUUAUCCUUCUAUGAGAUUUGAAGAUUCAUACCAUCAGUGAGUUUGCAGGUCCUCCUUAGUUGAAUAUCAUCGAUGUUACUAGAUUUUGAAGGCGUGUGGAAAGGGGUGAAGUGAGUAUAUUGUCAAACAACAAAAGAUUAAAGGAUAUUGUUCAAAAGUCCAUGACACUAAACGUUUUGGUAUCCGAUUUGCGUUCUCUUUAAUAUACUAUGUUGGUUAGGGGUAAAAUUAUCAAAAUUGACAUCAACACUCUAAAGGGAUAAGCAAUAAAGCCCUUUGUUCUUCUUCUAACAUUUUCCUCUUUCUCUUUUAAUUAAGACUCAUUUUUCCUCUCUUUUGAGAUGAUAUUGAAGAAAGGAAACUUUUUCAUUUUUUAUUCUUUUCAGAUGAUGUUGGAAGUUGUUUAAAAUUGUUGAGAAUUUGUAUUGAAAGACGUUAGUUUAUAUUAUAUUAUUUAAAUUGUGUU